ensembl:lncRNA
CCCUUGCGGGCUGGCGCGGCGUAGACUGGAGCUCCGGGCACUUCUUUAAAAGGGGGAACGGCGCUGUGUUAGGCGGAGUGCGGAGCUAGAAGGGGGCGGUCGGAGCGCGAGCUGUCAACUCUGGCGCCUCCCGGCUCCGCCCCGAGGCUCCGAAGUGACAGGUGGAAUAGCAGCCCGGGCUUCGGACCUCAGGCCUCAGUUUAUUCUCUGGGAGGGGACGGGCUUUCCUGGCAGGACAUAUCAUACAACUAUUCCAUGGUGAAUUAUUCUUAACGAUUCCAGGUGAGGCCAAUACAAAGCUUCCUUCACUCCCCUUUCCUGAAUGCACUCCAUAUUGCUUCUCCAUAUUUCUGUUGCAAAUUAAAUGCCUUUCUUCUUGCUUGGUUCCCAGUGGAGUGGGAAAACAGCAUGUCAUUCUUCUGUACCAAAGAAUAAUAUACUUGAAGCCUUUAUUCAAUUCCUCUCACUCUAUCUUCUCUAAACCAAACAGUGCCAGAUUCUUUAACCUGUCAUCAAUAAUGUCUAUUUAUUAUCUGGAUUUACAUAGUGUCUUUUACCCCAGGAACUAAGAAUGCUUUCAGAUAUAAUUGAGCCUGAUCUCCCUGGUGCCUGAGCCAUUAAGAAACCAUUAGUGUUCUCCUGUUGCAGAAAACUAAAUGGCCCCCUAGUGGCCUGAAAGUGAAUAUGCCUCCCCCCACUAAGAACCAGGCAGGGAUCAGAGAAAUCAGAGAAUCCAGGCAGCUUGGGGAUAGAAUGGGCCCAGAAGGUCAUCUUUUGUGAAUACCCCUGUGGACCCUAGAGCCUCCUCCACAAAAUCCCUGGGGAGCACUCAGCAGCGUCAGUCCAAAGACCAUCUGGGAUGGUGGCAUACUUAUUGUUUGCUCCCUGAGGCAGCCCUUUUUGGCUUUGCAAAGUUCUGACCAAUUAUGACAAUAACAGUGCCCUUAGAAUGUGCUAUAGGCAUUAGACCAAGCCCUUACAUUCCUUGUCUUAUCUGUCUACCAAUGACCUAUCAGGUAGUACUGUUUAUCUUCGUUUCAUAGAUGAAGUCCCUGCCUCAGAAAGGGCCAAGAACCUGCUCAAGGUCACAUAGCCCUAAUGCCUUGGAAUUCAAAAGCCCUGAUGGAAUUCAGACCCCUGACUCCAGGGCAUUAGGCUCUUGAUCCCAGCUCUGCUCUGCCUCAUGGGCAAAGCUAGACUUUGUCUCUUCUCUGUAGUGGAUAUUGGGGGUUACUACCCAGGUCACCCUCAGGAGGGAGGUGCUCAUUCUUCCAGUUGUCAGGAGUGUUGGCUAUGAUGGCUCAGCUGCAACUGUCCCUGGGACUUGCCUUCUGACACCAAAGGAAGCUGCCGUUCUCUCCUGGCCUACAAGCCCAAUACAUAGAGCCAGAUCACAAUAAAGCCCAGUCAGAGAUAGGCAGGGGCCCACGAGAGAAGAAGGCUAGACCAUGAAGUCAUUGUGGAAGCAGCCAGUAUAUACUGGCAGGAUCCAGGAGCAAAUGUAUAGGCUAGAUCAAGGUGGGGUGUGGUGCCAAACAUUAAGUUGAACAAGGGAGACGUCGUUGUUAUAGGAGUAUUCUCCUGUGAAUCAGGAUGUGAUAUCCCAACAAGGAUCCUGGGAGACAGGAGAAAGGCAAUGGCUACCAGAGUGUAAUGGAAAUGCCAGAACUACCACAGCAGAAUGUGGAAGAAGGGUUCAAAAGCUCAGAGAAGUGGGUAUAUUCUAUGUAAGGCCAGAAACCACUUAGGUUCUGCAGGAAGGCCCAGAGGAUACUCUGGUCAUCAAAGCAACAAGGAACGCACUGUUGAGAGGGGUACCAGCAUCCCUGAGAAGCUGAGUUUGGACUGUCCUCUGUAAGCCAUGCCUGACAGCAAGAGGCCAUUCCGGAACUGGCUCUAGAUAGCAGUGGGGAUGAUAGGAUGGUGAAAUCAUAGAAGCUAGACAGCACAACUGUUGUAAUAAGCAGCAAGUUGGAGUGGCAGUGGGGGCAGUCCUGGCCAGUAGAGGACCGUGGUUGAAGAUAGUUGAUAGCAUAGCAUCCCUGGAGCAAGCUAGCUAGGCAGCCAGUAACAGUACUGCUCGGUCUAUACCAGUGAUUCUCAAAUGUUUUAGUUUCAGGAUCCCUUUACACUCUUAAAUAUUGAGGUCUCUAAGCCUGAUGUGGUGGCUCACACCUGUAAUCCCAGCUACUUGGAAGGCUGAGGCAGAAGGAUCACUUGACCCCAGGAGUUCAAGAUCAGCCUGGGCAAAAUAGUGAGACCUCAUCUCUACAAAAAAAAAAAAAAAAGUUGAAAAUUAGCUAGGCAGGUUGGCGUAUGCCUGUAGUCCCAAAUACUCGAGAGGCUGAGGCAGGAGGCUCGCUUGACCUCAGGAGUUUGAGACUGCACUAAGCCACGAUCAUGCUACUGCACUCCAGUCUGGGUGACAGAGUGAGACCUAGUCUCUAAAUAUAUAUAUAUAUAUAUAUAUGUAUGUAUAUAUGAGAGAGAGAGGUAUCUAAAGGAAUUUUAUUU